rnacentral:rRNA from 1 species
AUGUCCAGCAUCAUUCCCACAUCGGUUCUUGACAAUGACAACCUUCUGGUAGAAAUCCUUACUAGGCUAUCAUGCACUCGUUCACUUAUUCGCAGCUCAGCUGUUAAUCCCCAAUGGAUGUCUGUAUCUAGAUCUCAGUCUUUCCUUCAGGCAUAUUCUCGUCGCAAUCGCCCGGCAGUGCUCGGAUUCUUGGCAGAGUUCGAGCGUGGUUAUAGUCUCCAUUUUCGUGUUGUGGAUGCAUUAGCUUUUCAAGGUGAGUCGACUAGAGCUCUGCUUCGUUCCCGUAUAGAUGAUUAUUCCCUAUCACAGAAACGCAUACUAGCAUCUGAAUCUGGUGAGCUGCUAGUAAGUAUUAUCAACCCUCCCUUCGUUUCCUCUGAAACGGGCGAGACUGUCGUCGAUGGCUACUACACCUUGUUCCCUAGCUCGUUUCCACCAGUAUACUACUUGGUUGCGUCUCGUAUCCCUCGAGUCCCUCGCAUGCAUGGCCAGCACAGCCCAAACUUUUACGGCCAAUUUGGCAUUCUGCCAGCAGCCGGCCAGAUCGGGUUCUCUUUCUUUGUCAAGGACGCAGCCGGCCCUUUUCUGAAAACAUACGAUGGUAUUAAAUUCAGGUCUAAAUCUGAUUUCCACGUAUAUGUAUGUGUUUUCAGAGGUGGUGUUUGGUCAAGAUUUGUGUCGGCUCCUUUUGAAUAUCGUUCUCCUUGCAUCUUUCACUUAGAUCCUUACUCCGUUUUAGCCGGGAGCUCAUUAUACAUGAUGUAUGUCGUGGGCAUGAUCAUCUGUUUCGACAUUCCUAGCUCUACGUUCACUGUUGUCCAUCUACCAAUAUCAGCCAGAUCCUGUUUUGACUACAGUGUUUCCCUAAACGAGUCUGGCAUCUUGUCUCUUGUUAACUGUUCACAUGGCUUGCUCAAUACGUGGCUGCUUCAACUAGUACACGGCCGCUUGCAGUGGAGCUGUUGCUCAAGAUUAGAUUUAGUAAAGGCAUUUUCUAGCAGGGGUGGACCUACCAUAUGGCAGUCUGCAUUUGGCAUGGAGUACGGGGAGGUUGGCCCUGGUGAUUUCUACUCCGUUCAGAUCAGAUCAGCCAGCAAGAACUCAUCAGUUGUUCUGCUAACCUUCGCAUUCGACCAUGGCAUGUUUGUCGUGGACACUGUUAACGACACUGUUAAUGAGGUUCACUGGUUGCCCGAGGAUGGAGACAUGAGGCAAGCAUUCCCCUUGACGGAGCGUUGGCCACCGACUUUCCGUGACUGA